UUAGCGGCGGACGGGUGAGUAACACGUGGGCAACCUGCCUAUAAGACUGGGAUAACUCCGGGAAACCGGGGCUAAUACCGGAUAGUUCUUUUCCUCUCAUGAGGAAAAGGGGAAAGAUGGUUUCGGCUAUCACUUAUAGAUGGGCCCGCGGCGCAUUAGCUAGUUGGUAAGGUAACGGCUUACCAAGGCGACGAUGCGUAGCCGACCUGAGAGGGUGAUCGGCCACACUGGGACUGAGACACGGCCCAGACUCCUACGGGAGGCAGCAGUAGGGAAUCUUCCGCAAUGGACGAAAGUCUGACGGAGCAACGCCGCGUGAACGAAGAAGGCCUUCGGGUCGUAAAGUUCUGUUGUUAGGGAAGAACAAGUAUGAGAGUAACUGCUCGUACCUUGACGGUACCUAACCAGAAAGCCACGGCUAACUACGUGCCAGCAGCCGCGGUAAUACGUAGGUGGCAAGCGUUGUCCGGAUUUAUUGGGCGUAAAGCGCGCGCAGGUGGUUUCUUAAGUCUGAUGUGAAAGCCCACGGCUCAACCGUGGAAGGUCAUUGGAAACUGGGGAACUUGAGUGCAGAAGAGGAAAGUGGAAUUCCAAGUGUAGCGGUGAAAUGCGUAGAUAUUUGGAGGA
rnacentral:rRNA from 2 species